rnacentral:rRNA from 1 species
GCUUUUACAGUAUGAAAAUUGGUGAUUUAUAAUAACUUAGCAAAUCGCAAAGUGAAAACAGGCGAUAAAUCAUUCAAGUUUCUGACCUAUCAGCUUUCGACGGUAUGGUAUUGGCUUACCGUGGCAGUGACGGUUAACGGGGGAUUAGGGUUCGAUUCCGGAGAGGGAGCCUGAGAAACGGCUACCACAUCUAAGGAAGGCAGCAGGCGCGCAAAUUACCCAAUUCUAACAGUUUGAGAGAGGUAGUAACAAGAAAUAACAAUACAAGGCAGUUAAAAUGCUUUGUAAUUGGAAUGAUAGAAAUUUAAACCCUUUUUAAAGUAUCAAUUGGAGGGCAAGUCUGGUGCCAGCAGCCGCGGUAAUUCCAGCUCCAAUAGCGUAUAUUAAAAUUGUUGCAGUUAAAAAGCUCGUAGUUGAAGUUCUGCUAAAAGUAACCGGUCUGCUUUUAAUAAAGGUGGUAUCUUGGUGUGUAUUUAGCAAUGAUGUCCUUUGAAGUGUUUUUUACUUUAUUGUAAUAAAGCAUAUUCAGGACUUUUACUUUGAGAAAAUUAGAGUGUUUCUAGCAGGCUAACGCUUUGAAUACUGCAGC